GUAGGUGGCAAGCGUUGUCCGGGAAUUAUUGGGGCGUAAAGCGCGCGCAGGCGGUUCUUUAAGUCUGAUGUGAAAGCCCACGGGCUCAACCGUGGGAGGGUCAUUGGAAACUGGAGAACUUGAGUACAGAAGAGGAAAGCGGAAUUCCACGUGUAGCGGUGAAAUGCGUAGAGAUGUGGAGGAACACCAGUGGCGAAGGCGGCUUUCUGGUCUGUAACUGACGCUGAGGCGCGAAAGCGUGGGGAGCAAACAGGAUUAGAUACCCUGGCAGUCCACGCCGUAAACGAUGAGUGCUAAGUGUUAGGGGGUUUCCGCCCCUUAGUGCUGCAGCUAACGCAUUAAGCACUCCGCCUGGGGAGUACGGCCGCAAAGGCUGA
rnacentral:rRNA from 1 species